rnacentral:rRNA from 1 species
GGGGGAUAACCAUUGGAAACGAUGGCUAAUACCGCAUGAUGCCUACGGGCCAAAGAGGGGGACCUUCGGGCCUCUCGCGUCAGGAUAUGCCUAGGUGGGAUUAGCUAGUUGGUGAGGUAAGGGCUCACCAAGGCGACGAUCCCUAGCUGGUCUGAGAGGAUGAUCAGCCACACUGGAACUGAGACACGGUCCAGACUCCUACGGGAGGCAGCAGUGGGGAAUAUUGCACAAUGGGCGCAAGCCUGAUGCAGCCAUGCCGCGUGUGUGAAGAAGGCCUUCGGGUUGUAAAGCACUUUCAGUCGUGAGGAAGGUGGUGUAGUUAAUAGCUGUAUCAUUUGACGUUAGCGACAGAAGAAGCACCGGCUAACUCCGUGCCAGCAGCCGCGGUAAUACGGAGGGUGCGAGCGUUAAUCGGAAUUACUGGGCGUAAAGCGCAUGCAGGUGGUUUGUUAAGUCAGAUGUGAAAGCCCGGGGCUCAACCUCGGAAUUGCAUUUGAAACUGGCAGACUAGAGUACUGUAGAGGGGGGUAGAAUUUCAGGUGUAGCGGUGAAAUGCGUAGAGAUCUGAAGGAAUACCGGUGGCGAAGGCGGCCCCCUGGACAGAUACUGACACUCAGAUGCGAAAGCGUGAGGAGCAAACAGGAUUAGAUACCCUGGUAGUCCACGCCGUAAACGAUGUCUACUUGGAGGUUGUGGCCUUGAGCCGUGGCUUUCGGAGCUAACGCGUUAAGUAGACCGCCUGGGGAGUACGGUCGCAAGAUUAAAACUCAGAUGAAUUGACGGGGGCCCGCACAAGCGGUGGAGCAUGUGGUUUAAUUCGAUGCAACGCGAAGAACCUUACCUACUCUUGACAUCCAGAGAACUUUCCAGAGAUGGAUUGGUGCCUUCGGGAACUCUGAGAC